CGGAUAUCACUAAGGUAUGGAAGUAAAUUCGAUUCUCGAUAUCGCGACGGUAUUUCCUAGAUUGUUGCGGCCAGGUUUUUCAUUCCCGUUUUCGUUUUUAGGCUUUAUUGAGUGCGUGGAAAGAGGGAUGUGCAGCAGCGGGUUCCGGCAAAGUCGUGGUACCAAAAGGGAAGUACUUUUAAGGCGUGGUGGAUUUGAUAGGCCCUUGCAAGGGUGCCAUGCAUCUUCAAGUGGAAGGAACGUUGGUGGCGCCAGCAAAAGCUAGCCAACACAACAAGAAUAGCUGGGUUACAUUGAGAUACCUGGACCGAUUAACGGUAUCCGGUGGCGGGGCCUUCGACGGACUAGGAGAAUUUGCUUGGGAGCGAGCGCACUGUGGUGAUAGAUGCAAGAUACCACUUCCAAUUGUAAGCAAAACCGAAUGCUACUUUACAAAACAACAGCCAUUCAUAGACCCGUUCAUGGCAGCAAUACUAAUAAUGUUUUCUUUGUGUAAUUGCUGUAUCAAAACUGUACCAAAACCUACGGUUUGACUUCGUCACCAACAGCAUAGUUGAGGACGUAACUUCCAUCGAUAGCAAGCAGUUCCACGUCAAUGUCCUCGGCAGCAAAAACCUCACCUUCCAGCGGUUUUCAGUGAAAGCCCCGGGACAUAGUCUCAACACCGAUGGAAUUCACAUUGGACGAUCGGAGGGGAUCAACAUAAUUAAUUCAAACAUUGUUGUAACGACCUCAAAUUGGACCGUCACCGGCGCUAGGAUUCAGGUCGGCUUAAGGCCGCCAGAACCCGUAGCAAGCCUACUAUACUCUCUGUGUACCUGUAAAACUCAUACAUGAUCAUACAUUUUCUGUGAAAAUAAAAACUCUUUGCUGAACCACGGCUUAACCUGUGCAUGCACUAUCUCUGUACUCUGUACUCUGUACUCUGUACUCCCUGACUAGAGCUUGCUCUAGAUGGGUUCAUUCAUACCUGUUAAGCCUGGUUUUUCACAUACUCUGUAAAACAUAUACAUAUACAGAUCAUGUACAUAACAAAAGCUUUACAACACAACAUAACGAAGUCAAGCAUAACUCUACCUUAAUACACAACUAUUACAGCUCUUUAACAUUUACAUGUCGACUCUAUACUAUUACAAGCUCUUUCUGUACUCUGCUGGACUGUCCCUGUACACUGUUUACUGAACCUGCAAAACUGGGGUUAAGGGAGUGGGAUGAGCUCUAUAGCCCAAUGAGUAGAACAGGAAAACAUCUCAGUAAAAUAUGAUCUCAUGGAAUGCAUCAUAUCACAAACAAUCCAUAUCAAAGGUAAACCUGUCACCACAUAGUCCCAGUAACUCUAUGCCAGGGCGUAGAAUCGAGCACCUGGUCUUCCUGUGAUAUAUGUAUAUGUGUAUAUAACACCUCUGUACUUACCAUUGCCAGGGCGUAGUCAAAGGCUCCUGGACUUUAUUAUAUACCUGCCAGGGCAUAGUCAAAGGCUCCUGGACUUCUCUAUACCUGCCAGGGCGUAGUCAAAGGCUCCUGGACUUCCUGUCUGGAACUAUUGGAUCAUUCAGCAUUUACCCACACCAACAAUAUAGCUAUGCAAUCCACAUCUUUGUGAGUUCUAAUGCAAUCAACAUAUUGCAUAAACAUGAUGCAUGAAAGAUGCUAAAAGCAGUUAAUGUCUUAAUUAAAAUGAGUCAGAAGUUUAGUUCCACUCACCUCUGGCUACCUGGACUGACUGACUGUGCAGGUUCUGAAAACUCUAAGCAGAACUCACUGCUGCUCUCUCUGGUUCCUCUGGUCUGUAUAGGUACAGAGAAAACUCAAAUGAGGGACCAAACUAGCGUAUGACCACUCGAUUAAACUCCCCAAGAAUCCCCUUAAACUCACUUCAAAACUCAUGCAAAGCAUGCAAAGGAAAGCUGGACAGAACACUUUCGGCGGCAGGUUCGGCGGCCGAAAGUCCUCUCCAGAGAUGAAACUCAAGCACCUUCGGCGGCCGAAGCUCUUCUUUCGGCGGCCGAAGCUCUUCUUUCGGGGGCUAGUUUCGGGGGCCAAAAGGCACUCCAGAGACGAAAGUCUCUAACCUUCGGCGGCCGAAUCCCCCAAACAGAGCCGAACAUGCAAAACUCUCGGGGGCAAGCUGUGGCAGCCAAAGCCACCAUGCAAGAGGUUCGGCGGCCGAAUGAUCCUUCGGCUGCCGAACCUGAGUUCAUCCAGAACUCAGCCCCGACGGCAAACAAGCUCCUCCAUCCCUUCAAGCUCUCAAAACAUGCAUACCUCAACUCCUCUACACACAUAUACUCAUGUAUAUGUAUAAAGGGGUCCCAAACUACCUAAGCACCCCAACAAACACAUCAAAGAUAACACAUAAACAUGCUUACAUGCAUAAACCAUUAAAACAACACCCUUCAGCACCCAAGCAUGCAUCUCUACCCACCCUUUAGGAUAAAACUGUUGUAAAUCAUUAAAACAUGUUCAAGAUCUUCACUUACCUUCUGUAACCAAGAAGAUGAACGAUCUGAACAAAGAGAAAUGGAUCAACUCCUCUUCAAAGUCAUAAACUCUCAAAACUCAGCUUUUUGCUUCAAACUUUCAAAACCUUUUGAAACCUAACACAACUUUGCAGGAGCUGCUAAUAAAUCAGGGGAGACGUGGCCAAUCUUCUGGACAGGGUUUGGAGCCAACACCUGUCCAAAAGGCUGACUAAGGAAUGCUCAAUAGUUGGCUAGCCAACUCAGCUUCGGCUGCCGAAUCGCAUGCAAAACCAUGCAACCUUCGGGGGCCGAAUCUGAGCUUCGGAAGCCCAACAUUGGGCACUUUCGGCGGCCGAACUUACCUUCGGCGGCUGAACUUGGCAAAAGUCCCCAUAAACUUUUCUCUUCAAAACACAUAGCAUUUUAACUUGAAAACCUUAAAACAAAACAUAACACUUAAGCAAACAUAAAGCCUACCCUUCGAUAGAAUUCCAACACCUCGGAUUCCACCAGACGACAGGAAUUCCGGUGCCGGAUUCUAGCCGGGUAUUACAUUCUCCCCCCUUAAGAACAUUCGUCCUCGGAUGUUCCUAAAGCAAACAAAAAAGCACAACAAAGAGGAGGAACUAACCUCAAAACAAAUAUGGAUACUGCUGGAGCAUAGACUCUCGCGUCUCCCACGUACACUCUUCUAGAUUAUGGUGGUUCCAUAGGACUUUCACCAUUGGAAUUUCCUUGUUCCUUAGCUGUCUGAUCUGUGUGUCCAGAAUCCGCACUGGCUGCUCUAUGUAGGUGAGAUCUGGAAGAAUCUCCACCUCAGGCUCACUCAGAACCUGAUUUGGAUCUGACACAAACUACCGUAGCAUAGACACAUGAAAUACCGGGUGAAUCCGCUCCAUAGAAGCAGGCAAAUCUAGCUUAUACGACACAUUUCUGAUCCUCUGCAAAAUCUCAAAGGGUCCAAUGUAUCGUGGAGCUAACUUACCCUUCUUUCCAAAACUAACCACUCCUUUCAUUGGAGACACUUUCAGCAAUACCCAAUUACCCUCCUGGAACUCUAACUGUUUUCUACGUACGUCUGCAUAGCUUUUCUGUCUACUCUGCGCUGUUCUGAUUCGCUCUCUGAUCACUGGCACUAUUCUACUGGUAAUCUCUAUCAACUCUAGCCCUGCAAGAGCUUUCUCUCCUACCUCUUCCCAGCAAACAGGUGAUCUGCACUUCCUCCCAUACAAUGCUUCAUAAGGAGCCAUUCCAAUGCUAGCAUGAUGACUGUUAUUGUUGGCAAACUCCACCAGAGGUAGAUGCUGCCUCCAAGAACCGCCAAAGUCUAACACACACAAUCGAAGCAUAUCUUCUAUGGUCUAGAUGGUCCUCUCAGACUGUCCAUCAGUCUGUGUGUGGAAAGCAGUGCUAAACUCUAGUCUCGUGCCUAUCGCACUCUGCAGACUUCGCCAAAACCUAGAGGUAAACUGAGGUCCUCUGUCUAAAACUAUAGACACUGGAACGCCAUGUAAUCUCACUAUCUCAUCCAGAUAGACCUGUGCCAACUUAUCCACAGAAUAGUUACUCCGUACUGGAAGAAAAUGAGCAGAUUUCGUGAGUCUGUCCACAAUCACCCAUAUAGAGUCUAUCCUGUUGGACGCUGCUGGUAAACCCACAACAAAAUCCAUAGCUAUGUUUUCCCAUUUCCACUCUGGAAUCGGCAGUGGGUUAAGCAUUCCUGCUGGUUUCUGAUGCUCUAGUUUCACCCUUUGACAAACCUCACAGGCUGUCACAAACUGCGCCACUUCUUUCUUCAUGGCUGGCCACCAAUAUACUCUCUUUAAAUCCUGAUACAUCUUGGUGGCUCCUGGGUGAACACUAUACCUUGCAUUAUGAGCUUCCCUCAUAAUGUCUUCCUUUAGACUGCUUUUAUCUGGUACACAAAGUCGACUCCCAUAACGAAGGAUCCCUUUGCUGUCAAAUCUAAACUCUGCAUUGUUGCCUGACUGAACCAUCCUGGCAAUUCUCAUCAACUCAGGGUCCUCGUGCUGUCUCUGAGCUAUCUGUUCCAAAAACACAGGUGUCACUCUCAUCUGUGCUAUCAACGCACCUGUACCAGACAACUCUAGCUGUAACCCUUCUUCUAAGAGCUUAUAAAGCUCCCUCACGACUGGUCUUCGCUCUGCUGCGAUAUGGGAUAAACUGCCUAGUGACUUCCGGCUUAGGGCAUCUGCUACAACAUUCGCCUUACCCGGAUGAUACUGGAUCUUACAAUCAUAAUGACUGAGCAAUUCUACCCAUCUUCUCUGCCUCAAAUUCAGCUCUCUCUGACUCAAGAUGUACUGUAAACUCUUAUGAUCGGUGAAGAUCUCGCAUUUAACCCCAUAGAGGUAAUGCCGCCUCAUCUUAAGUGCAAAGAUAACUGCUGCCAUCUCUAGGUCAUGGGUAGGGUAAUUCAACUCGUGCUUCUUGAACUGUCUAGAAGCAUAAGCUAUCACCCUAUCACUCUGAAUUAGAACACAGCCCAAUCCCACUCGAGAUGCAUCACAGAACACUGUGAACUCCUCAUUACUGCUAGGCAGAGCUAAAACUGGUGCUGUUGUCAAUCUCCUCUUGAGCUCCUCAAAGCUCUCUUCACACUGGUCUGACCAGACAAACUUCUGGUUCUUCUGAGUUAGUUUGGUCAUAGGAGCCGCUAUCUUCGAGAAGUCCUGAACGAACCUCCUGUAGUAACCUGCCAGUCCCAGAAAGCUUUUAAUCUCAGUCACUGUAGUGGGUCUGGGCCAGUUAGCUAUAGCCUCUAUCUUCUUGGGAUCCACCUCAAUACCCUCUGCUGAUACUACAUGUCCCAAGAAGGAAAUGCUCCUUAACCAAAACUCACACUUCGAGAACUUGGCAUAUAAACCAUGCUCUCUCAGUGUCUGCAAAACUAUCCGCAGAUGCUGGGCAUGCUCCUCUACAUCUCUGGAAUACACUAAGAUAUCAUCGAUAAAGACAAUCACAAAGUGAUCCAGAAACUCACUGAAAACUCUAUUCAUGAGAUCCAUGAAUGCUGCAGGGGCGUUAGUCAACCCGAACGACAUUACUAAGAACUCAUAAUGCCCAUAUCUGGUCCUGAAAGCUGUCUUAGGCACAUCUGCCUCUCUGACUCUCAACUGAUGAUAUCCGGAUCUCAGAUCUAUUUUAGAGAAACAACCUGCUCCAGCUAGCUAGUCAAAUAGAUCAUCAAUCCUAGGCAAAGGAUAUCUAUUCUUGGUAGUGACCUUGUUCAACUGUCUGUAGUCAAUACAAAGUCUGAGGGAUCCAUCCUUCUUUCUGACAAAGAGCACUGGAGCACCCCAAGGUGAGGUACUAGGGCGGAUGAAACCCUUAUCUACCAAGUCCUGCAACUGUGCUUUCAACUCUUUUAACUCUGCUGGUGCCAUCCUGUAGGGAGGAAUAGAGAUAGGUCUGGUACCAGGUAGCAAUUCUAUCUCAAACCCUAUCUCCCUAUCAGGUGGUAGUCCUGGUAAGUCGUCUGGGAACACAUCAAGAAACUCUCGGACUACUGGUAUUGUGGCUGGUUCCCUAACCUGACUAUCUAGCUCCCUCACAUGAGCUAGAUACCCCUGACAACCCCUCCUAAGCAAACGACGAGCCUGAAGGGCUGAAAUCAUACCUCUGGGUGUACCUCUCCUGUCUCCUCUGAAGACACACUCUGACCCAUCCUGGUCUCUGAGACUCACUAUCUUCUCUCUACAGUCCAAAGUAGCACUAUAUGCAGAUAACCAAUCCAUCCCUAGAAUGACAUCAAAAUCUGUCAAGUCUAGAACCACAAGGUCAGCUGGAAGGUAUCUACCCUCUAUGAACACUGGACUGAAACGACAGACUGACACUGCCACUGAUGGGUCACAUUUAGGUCCACUGACCCAGAGAGGAUACUCUAACUCAGAACUGAUCAAACCCAAUCUCUCUAUGGCUCUCGAAGCAAUAAAGGAAUGAGAAGCACCGGGGUCCAUCAAAGCAUACACAUCUGAACACCCAAUGAUGAGAUUACCUGACACCACUGUGUUCGACGUGUUAGCCUCCUCCUGUGUCACAGUGAAAAUCUGUGCUGGGGCUACCGGAUUUCCACCUCGGGAACCUGCUGCUGAAGUAGAGGCUACCCCUCUCCCUCUACCUCUGCCACUACUCUGAGGUACGGCUGGAGCUGCUGGCUGUACUACUGGCUGUACCACACUGCCUGAACUCAUCUGCUGGGAUGGUGCAAAAGUCAUCUGAGGACAAUCCCGAGCAAUAUGCCCUUCCUGUCCACAUCUAAAACAAGCGGUAGAUCCCAUUCGACAAGUCCCUACAUGUGGUCUUCCACAUCUUCUGCACACUGGAGCUGUGCCAGAGCUUGAGCCACUACCUAUUCCCAUACCUGACUUGACUUUACUCCAGAACUUACUCUUUGUACCUUUUGCUCUAUCCCAUCUUUUGCUACCUGACGCUACUGCACUGGGGGCUUUAGAACCCGAAGCCUGUGCCUUUGACUGUUUCUGAAUAUUGGCACUAGCUUCCAUUUUCCUGGCUGCGUCCACUAUCGUGUGGAAACUCUCCUUUUCUGCUGGAAGAAUCAAGCAAGAAUACCUGGGAUGCAGUCUCAUAGUAUAUCUCCUUGCCUUCUUCUGAUCAGUAUCAUAGGCUUGACCCACAUACUAAAGCAAAUCCGGGAACUUAUCUGUGAAUUCAUCAACACUCAUCUCAUCUGUCUGUCUCAACUGUUCAAACUCUAUUACUUUCAUCUCCCUGGAGCUAUCAGGAAAAGCCCACCCUGCAAAUUCAUUGGCGAACACUCCCCACGACAUGCUAUCAAUCCUGGGCUCCAUAUAGUUCUUAAACAAAUCUCUGGCUUUCUUACACUUCAAUGUAAACCCCGCCAUCUCAAUGGCUCUACUAUCAUCAGCUCCCAAUUCACUGGUUAUCAUCCUAACUGAUCUGAGGUAUUCAAAAGGAUCAUCUCCCGUGUUAUAUUUAGGAGCAUCCAAUUUCAAGUACUCCGUCAUUUGUACUUUACCUCCAGAUGAGCAAGGUUGAGGUAUUUGGGCAAUAGGGGCUACUGGUUCUGGUGGUGGUGGUGGAGGUACUGGUUCAUUGAGCUCUGGGUGUGCUGCACUAGGAUGAGUAGGGGAAGAUGGAUACAUAGGAUAUGGUGGAUAAUAGUAAGGAUAAGGCAUAUAUGGCAUGUAUGUAGGAUAUGGGUCAAAUCGAGAGUACUCCGACAUACCUUCCAUCGGAUACUCUGGAUCCUGGAAAACAGCUGGAUAAUCAAAUCCUGAGGUCUGAACGCCUCCCUGAGAGUCUCCCAUACCUUCAUCCAUAGACGGAUCAGUCUCCAUAGCCUCCCUCACUUCCUCCUCUGAUCUUCCUCCUCUCACUGUACCCCUUCUGCUCUCGUCUAUAGACCUUCUAGGGUCUAUUGACGUACCUUCCCUGCUAGAUCUCUGAGACCUUGCCCUUGGCAAUGCAGGAGGACGAGCAGCUGUUCUUUCACUAUCUGGUGGGACUCCAGUCAAUCGAGCUGAUCGACGAGUUCCUCUCAUCUUUACUUUCUGAAAAACAUAAUAUAGCACUUUAACAUAUUAACCUCACAUAACAAUAAUGCACAUGCAUAACUCAUGGCAGUAAACAGAUAAGACUCAACACCCUAUCCUAGUGGACAUGAUUUCUUACUGUGCUUGACCACUUCUAUCCUCUAUGAGCCCGACACUAUCUCUAUAGGUCCGAUCAUGUGAACCUAGGGCUCUGAUACCAAUAUGUAACGACCUCAAAUUGGACCGUCACCGGCGCUAGGAUUCAGGUCGGCUUAAGGCCGCCAGAACUCGUAGCAAGCCUGCUAUACUCUCUGUGUACCUGUAAAACUCAUACACGAUCAUACAUUUUCUGUGAAAAUAAAAACUCUUUGCUGAACCACGGCUUAACCUGUGCAUGCACUAUCUCUGUACUCUGUACUCUGUACUCUGUACUCUGUACUCCCUGACUAGAGCUUGCUCUAGAUGGGUUCAUUCAUACCUGUUAAGCCUGGUUUUUCACAUACUCUGUAAAACAUAUACAUAUACAGAUCAUGUACAUAACAAAAGCUUUACAACACAACAUAACGAAGUCAAGCACAACUCUACCUUAAUACACAACUAUUACAGCUCUUUAACAUUUACAUGUCCACUCUAUACUAUUACAAGCUCUUUCUGUACUCUGCUGGACUGUCCCUGUACACUGUUUACUGAACCUGCAAAACUGGGGUUAAGGGAGUGGGAUGAGCUCUAUAGCCCAAUGAGUAGAACAGGAAAACAUCUCAGUAAAAUAUGAUCUCAUGGAAUGCAUCAUAUCACAAACAAUCCAUAUCAAAGGUAAACCUGUCACCACAUAGUCCCAGUAACUCUAUGCUAGGGCAUAGAAUCGAGCACCUGUUCUUCCUGUGAUAUAUGUAUAUGUGUAUAUAACACCUCUGUACUUACCAUUGCCAGGGCGUAGUCAAAGGCUCCUGGAAUUUACUAUAUACUUGCCAGGGCAUAGUCAAAGGCUCCUGAACUUCUCUAUACCUGCCAGGGCGUAGUCAAAGGCUCCUGGACUUUCUGUCUGGAACUAUUGGAUCAUUCAGCAUUUACCCACACCAACAAUAUAGCUAUGCAAUGCACAUCUUUGUGAGUUCUAAUGCAAUUAACCUAUUGCAUAAACAUGAUGCAUGAAAGAUGCUAAAAGCAGUUAAUGUCUUAAUUAAAAUGAGUCAGAAGUUUAGUUCCACUCACCUCUGGCUACCUGGACUGACUGACUGUGCAGGUUCUGAAAACUCUGAGCAGAACUCACUGCUGCUCUCUCUGGUUCCUCUGGUCUGUAUAGGUACAGAGAAAACUUAAAUGAGGGACCAAACUAGCGUAUGACCACUCGAUUAAACUCCCCAAGAAUCCCCUUAAACUCACUUCAAAACUCAUGCAAAGCAUGCAAAGGAAAGCUGGACAGAACACUUUCGGCGGCAGGUUCGGCGGCCGAAAGUCCUCUCCAGAGACGAAACUCAAGCACCUUCGGCGGCCGAAGCUCUUCUUUCGGCGGCCGAAGCUCUUCUUUCGGGGGCUAGUUUCGGGGGCCAAAAGGCACUCCAGAGACGAAAGUCUCUAACCUUCGGCGGCCGAAUCCCCCAAACAGAGCCGAACAUGCAAAACUCUCGGGGGCAAGCUGUGGCAGCUAAAGCCACCAUGCAAGAGGUUCGGCGGCCGAAUGAUCCUUCUGCUGCCGAACCUGAGUUCAUCCAAAACUCAGCCCCGAUGGCAAACAAGCUCCUCCAUCCCUUCAAGCUCUCAAAACAUGCAUACCUCAACUCCUCUACACACAUAUACUCAUGUAUAUGUAUAAAGGGGUCCCAAACUACCUAAGCACCCCAACAAACACAUCAAAGAUAACACAUAAUCAUGCUUACAUGCAUAAACCAUUAAAACAACACCCUUCAGCACCCAAGCAUGCAUCUCUACCCACCCUUUAGGAUAAAACUGUUGUAAAUCAUUAAAACAUGUUCAAGAUCUUCACUUACCUUCUGUAACCAAGAAGAUGAACGAUCUGAACAAAGAGAAAUGGAUCAACUCCUCCUCAAAGUCAUAAACUCUCAAAACUCAGCUUUUUGCUUCAAACUUUCAAAACCUUUUGAAACCUAACACAACUUUGCAGGAGCUGCUAAUAAAUCAGGGGAGACGUGGCCAAUCUUCUAGACAGGGUUUGGAGCCAACACCUGUCCAAAAGGCUGACUAAGGAAUGCUCAAUAGUUGGCUAGCCAACUCAGCUUCGGCUGCCGAAUCGCAUGCAAAACCAUGCAACCUUCGGGGGCCGAAUCUGAGCUUUGGAAGCCGAACAUUGGGCACUUUCGGCGGCCGAACUUACCUUCGGCGGUCGAACUUGGCAAAAGGCCCCAUAAACUUUUAUCUUCAAAACACAUAGCAUUUUAACUUGAAAACCUUAAAACAAAACAUAACACUUAAGCAAACAUAAAGCCUACCCUUCGAUAGAAUUCCAACACCCCGGAUUCCACCAGACGACAGGAAUUCCGGUGCCGGAUUCUAGCCGGGUAUUACAAUUGUCACCGGUGAUGGUUGCAUCUCCAUUUGCCAGGGGAGCAAGCAAGUACGAAUCACAAAUGUAAGGUGCAGACACGGGCAUGGCAUUAGUGUUGGAAGCUUAGGAAGGUACGAGAAGGAAGAACCUGUGUCCGGAAUUUAUGUAAAGAAUUGCACAAUAUACGACACUGACAAUGGCGUGAGAAUUAAGACUUGGCCCGCAUUGUAUGGUGGCAUUGCGUCGAAUAUCCAUUUCGAGGACAUCGUCAUGCAGAACGUCAGCAAUCCCAUCAUUAUAGAUCAAAUGUACUGCCCAUGGAACCUAUACAAUCGGAAGGUAACUUUUUAAUUUUCAUUUUUUUUCAACCAAAAAGGGGAAUCUUUUUUAUUAUUAUUAUUUAUUCAUAGAGAUCAUAUAGUUGUGUGAUGUUGGCUAGAAGAAUACAUUUAUACUAAAAUAUUGUACCUUUUUUCAGAAGCCAUCAAAAGUUCAAAUCAGCGACGUCAGCUUCAAGAAUAUUCAAGGAUCGUCAAGAACGCCCACGACCGUUCAAAUUACGUGCAGCAGCAGCGUACCAUGCAAGGACAUUGUGCUUUCUAACGUUAACCUCAAGUACACCGGAUCUAAGGGAUCUGCAAAAUCUGUUUGUACAAAUGUUAAGCCUAGGAUUAUAGGAAAGUUGAUUCCGGGAGGAUGCUAAUGCACUCAUUUGUUGAUUCUUUUUAUAAAUGGAGAAAAUUUCUCGAUUGCACAUUGCAAUUCAUUCUUCAACUUUUCAAAUUUAAAUGAACUAGAUCAAAUAUGACUAAAACCAAUAACUAAAAUAUUUCAAAUUUAACUGAUAUUAACAGUACGUAAAUAAUUUUUUAAGACCUCAAUCGUAAAAAUUGCAAAAUGAAAUAAAAAAAGACAAUUUAUUAAAUGAACUUAUUAAUUUAAUUGUCAAAAUUCAAAUUAAAAUGCUAUAAUUCAAUUGUAUCAAAAUUUUACUUUAUCGAAGUUCAGAAUGAUUCAUUUCUUAAUUAAAAAACUAUAAUUCGAAAUUAAGAAAUCAAAACGAAAUUUAUUUCCCUGUAAUCCUAGCCCUACCAUCAUAAUUAAAAUAUUGCAAUUCAAAAUUUUUUUUUCCUUUUUUAAUUAGCGCAAUAUAAUUCGAAGAAAAUAUAUAUAUCAGUCUGCUCCAAAAUUUUGCCUUCGCUUUUUUGGUGUAAUUUAUUUCCUAAUGUAACUGUUUUAAGGAAUCGAGGAAACAAAAAUAAUAUACCGCUGUAAGGAGACGAAAUGUGCUACAAAGCUCGUUGUGAAUUUUUUUUUUCUUUUUGCUGCGUUCCAUUUAAAAGCAAAUGAUUACAACCGAAGCUGAAUAUAUUGUCAACGCUGAAAUAAAGUACGCAUAAAAUAUUACGGUGCGUCUUCACUCAAGAAAAGAGAGAAAAGAUGCGGUAUGUUUUUUUUUUCUUUCCUCUUUUCUUCUUUCUUUUUUUUUUCUUGUACUUGUCAGAAAACAGUGCGUAUGCACGCGCGAGAAAAGGAAUUGCGGGUGCGGCAACACCAAUCCUUCCGCGUCCAACACGACUAGAAUUGCGGAAGUACGAAAAAGGUUGUUGCGCAAGUUAUAUAGGGUUCCAGUAUAAAACAAUAUGUUUGGAGAGAACUGCGCAGGUUGUAGUUGUUAGUUGCAGGCUAGCGCACGCAGCCUUUUUUCGCCUAAAACAAUUAAAGCAACAAAAAGAAGGAAUGCGUGAAAAUGCUACAGCCUGUAAUAAACCUUGAGUAAAUUAAACGAGCCAGUUGACAUAUAAAAGGCCUUUCGGAGGAGGGGAAAUUCACAGACAUUUACGAAACAAUAUAAGCUAUAGAUAUCAAAAGAGAGGAAGCGCCUUUGAAAGAGAGACAUGGGUUCCAAGGCACAUGUAUGCAUAGUAUACCUAUUGUUGCUGUUUGCUUUUACCAGCGAAGCUCUGCCCAAUACCUUUGAUGUCACGAAAUAUGGUGCCAAGGCAGGAUCGGAUAUCACUAAGGUAUGGAAGUAAAUUCGAUUCUCGAUAUCGCGACGGUAUUUCCUAGAUUGUUGCGGCCAGGUUUUUCAUUCCCGUUUUCGUUUUUAGGCUUUAUUGAGUGCGUGGAAAGAGGGAUGUGCAGCAGCGAGUCCCGGCAAAGUAGUGGUACCAAAAGGGAAGUACUUUUUAGGCGUGGUGGAUUUGAUAGGCCCUUGCAAGGGUGCCAUGCAUCUUCCAGUGGAAGGAACGUUGGUGGCGCCAGCAAAAGCUAGCCAACACAGCAAGAAUAGCUGGGUUACAUUGAGAUACCUGGACCGAUUAACGGUAUCCGGUGGCGGGGCCUU
rnacentral:lncRNA from 1 species